rnacentral:misc_RNA from 1 species
GUGAAUCAUCGAAUCUUUGAACGCAAAUUGCACUCUCCGGUUUUCCGGGAGAGUAUGCCUGUUUGAGGGUCUGUUUAAAAAAUAAUCGAGGCUGCUGCUGUGGUGGCGCUUCGGAAUUGGGUCAUCUUCCACCUUUCGGGGUUGUAAGCGACCUAAAAUUGAUACCUUGUGCAUCUCAGACGUACAUAAGAAUAUUUUUUUAUCCGUCCGGAGUUGCCAACUUUUAUUAGGUAUGACCAUAUUGUUUGUGGCAUCGUAUCUAUAAUAUAUACUCAUAUUUUGACCUCAAAUUAGGUAGGAG